rnacentral:lncRNA from 1 species
GGAACCUGAGCAGCACUGACUUCUGCAGAAGACUGAGAUGGAGACGCCCCCCAGUGUCCUGUUGCUCCUGCAGUCUGAACUUCCCAACAGCCCAUCUUUGGUUUAAAAAGUCUUUGUAAAGGGAGAUGACCCAGACAGUGAAGAACUACUUGCCAUACAAACACGAGGAUCUGAGUUCAAACUGAAGCACCAUGAAGAUGAAGAAAAAAGCUCUGUCUCGUGGCCUGCAACCCCAGUGACAGGGAAGCAGACGGAAGAAGCCCAGCCAGUCUAGCAAAAUAACAAGCUCAAGGUUCAAGCCUACAAACAGAAGUGAAGCAGUGGCGGGGGCAGCAUCAAUAAAGGUAGCAGAGGAAAGAAAGAAAAAAGAAUCAUCGGCUACUAGAAGUGUCACAUUAAAUGUCACAGGGACUGUGUU